AGUGAACGCUGGCGGCAGGCUUAACACAUGCAAGUCGAGCGAGCGGCGGACGGGUGAGUAAUGUCUGGGAAACUGCCUGAUGGAGGGGGAUAACUACUGGAAACGGUAGCUAAUACCGCAUCCCAUCAGCUGUGCCCAGAUGGGAUUAGCUAGUAGGUGGGGUAAUGGCUCACCUAGGCGACGAUCCCUAGCUGGUCUGAGAGGAUGACCGGCCGCACUGGAACGGAGACACGGGCCAGAGUACUACGGGAGGGAGCAGGGGGGAAUAUGGCGCAAUGGGCGCAAGCCUGAUGCAGCCAUGCCGCGUGUGUGAAGAAGGCCUUCGGGUUGUAAAGGACGUUCAGCGAGGAGGCGGUACUCGCAGAAGAAGCACCGGCUAACUCCGUGCCAGCAGCCGCGGUAAUAC
rnacentral:rRNA from 1 species